UCGCGAUAUGUGUUUUGCAAAAACAGCUGACUGACAUAUCUGGAUUUACGGGGUAGAGCUAGGGAUCCUGUAUUUAUUUCAGCCAAAGGUAGCUAUUUUAGCUAGAGUUUAUUUUACACCAAUUCAUAACCCGCGUGUCGUGCACAGGGAAAACAUGGCAGAAACGGAUCCAAAGUCAGUUCAGGACCUUACCAAUGUGGUCCAGACACUGCUGCAACAGAUGCAGGACAAGUUCCAGACCAUGUCAGACCAGAUCAUCGGAAGAAUCGACGAGAUGAGCACCCGCAUCGAUGACCUGGAGAAGAACAUUGCUGACCUCAUGACCCAGGCAGGCGUUGAGGAGAUCGAGGGGGUCAAAGAGCCACAAGUCAAAGAAGGACAAGGGUCAUGAAGUGUAGAGACGUAUCGAAUCGCCUUGCAAGGGAAAGAUGCACAACCCUAGUACUCACCUUCUGCCACUCAUCCCUGUAUCCAAGUUGGUAGUAGUCCUGCAUAUACAAACAUUUCAGGUUGCCAAGAUGACAAGCUGUCAAGGACUUUCUUCAGGAGCAGCAUAAUCUUCCACUAUAACCAUGAACUAUUUUGAUUUAGUGUGUUGUGAAAUGCUUUUUUAUAUUGACUAUUGUAAUAAAAGUAACAGUUCUUAUGUAGUAACUUGAUGUUAUUUGUAAAUUUUAGUAUUUCCCUCAGAACUUUUCAGGCCUAUGAGUAAUGGUUGAUUGAAGUAUACAGUAGAAGCUAGUGAUAUUAGUAGCACUCUGCACCAAGUGGAAUGCAUAUUCAACUGACUUUCUUCUAUUAAAGUUAUUUAAUACAAACCAA